GGGUGUGAUCAUACUAGUGUCAAUGUACUAGAUCCCAUCGAAACUCUGCAGUUAAGUGGGCUUGGUCUAGAGUAAUACCAGGAUGGGUGACCUCCCGGGAAGUCAUAGUGUUGCACCCU
rnacentral:rRNA from 1 species